GAUCCUAUCGUCUAGUAGGUUAGGACACAAGACUUUCAAUCUUGUAACACGGGUUCGAAUCCCGUUAGGAUCGCCA
rnacentral:tRNA from 1 species